rnacentral:misc_RNA from 1 species
GAAGGAGUUGGGUUGCAGUUGGUUGUUCGAACCACAACUUGAUGGUAGAGAGAGGUUUAACUGUUCAUAUAUUCCCAGAUCACAAAAAGAAACCUGAAAAAUGAUAGCGAGGCCAUGAAACUCGUGAACGCUGAUUGGAGUGCUUGGGCACCUGAUGGAAAAUAUGUUUACAUAUGAUCAACAUAUUAAUAUUGUAACACCUGAUGUAUAAUGAUUAUUGAAACAGAAUUAUAAUUUGAAAUAUUUGUACUUUUUCUAUGGUCCCAUAUGUUUGUAGAAGUUAUCGUACAUCAUACAAGUCAUGGGACGACAUCUUUGUUUUGUGAAGAAAGGACGCCAGGAUACAUCAAUUUAUGUUUUUACGAAACCCAAGGAAACGCCAAGAAUGCGAAUCCUACUACUCUGCCCCCAGCCCCAACCUUGCCAUCAUUGAGAACUCGAAGGCGAUCUAACAAGACUUUACGAACAAGCUGGGUACCAUCCACUCUUGGCAGGCAAUUGAAGAUGGAAUACUUAGGGUUGAGGCUUCUCUCUAGGCAAGUGAGGCCAGAAGCACCUGAGCCCCCCAGUCUUCAACGGAAUGAUACUGACAACUUGUCCAGGACCAGCAGGACAAGUGGGCCGCAUUCGGAACCUCCAAGACUAUUUCUGCCCAGAAUGCAACCGGCUCGAAUGUUCGCAGGAGAGCGAGAUGGAUGAGAUGGACAACUUGUCCAGGAGGAGAUAGUAGAGGUUCUGAACAGUCAAAAUAUCUUGUCCAACUGGUCUUCGCAUAAAUUGAGGUCAAGUUUGAAUCUGUGAGUUGCCACUUCAGACUCUAAGGCAGCCCUUAUGAAAUACAUUAUGGGAUUCUCCACAAUUGGCACAUGGACAUGACAGUGCAGUGCAGUUUCAUCGAUCAUAACCAGGUUGGGCACACAGAGGGCAUCGGGUCCUGGAAGGGGAGUGUUUGGCAAAAUGGCCUAGACACAAACAAUUCUGACAUUGACAGAGUGGAGGUUGAUAUGGUAUACAGGGAAGGAUUAUCCACCAAUGUAAACCUUAAAGGACUCAUGCAAGGUUUCACACUCACUCUUCCCAUACAUCUUCAAACCAACCAUCAGGUAUUAUAGGUAAGUGAUCACCUAUGUCAGCACCUUCUUUCAUGCAAAAUUGUACCUGCAUUAUCUAAAUACAGUUAUUAAGCAAACUGUCCUCCUCACCUCACCCACAGUUAUGUUUCCUGUCGGGUCUCUGAUGAUAUUUAUUAAGUUUGAUAGCUUGAUAUAGUUUUGAUAUCCCCCUCUUGUUGAUAAGAUGUCAACUUUGUUGUGUCAUUCUAGGCAUUUAUAGGAUCCACCCGACAUUAACAAUUAACUAGUAUUCCUUGACUUUGAAUUUCCUGUUUUAUUAGCAAGAUAGAGAGAAAUAGACACCACCUUCUUAUAGAGCAUAAGAAAGAGAGCCAUGAACAACACAGGUACAGCUGCAGUAGCCUCAUAUUUACUGUUAAAGGACAAAAACACCUGCUGCAUAUCAAUUGCUCAGAGACAAAGUCCACAACACAGAAUUCUGUUUUCUAUAAUGAUAAUAAUCAUAAAA